rnacentral:rRNA from 1 species
GUUUGUUCGAGGGGGGGGUUCUUAUACUUGCAAGUCGAGCGAACUGAUAGAAGCUUUGCUUCUAUGACGUUAGCGGCGGACGGGUGAGUAACACGUGGGCAACCUGCCUGUAAGACUGGGAUAACUUCGGGAAACCGAAGCUAAUACCGGAUAGGAUCUUCUCCUUCAUGGGAGAUGAUUGAAAGAUGGUUUCGGCUAUCACUUACAGAUGGGCCCGCGGUGCAUUAGCUAGUUGGUGAGGUAACGGCUCACCAAGGCAACGAUGCAUAGCCGACCUGAGAGGGUGAUCGGCCACACUGGGACUGAGACACGGCCCAGACUCCUACGGGAGGCAGCAGUAGGGAAUCUUCCGCAAUGGACGAAAGUCUGACGGAGCAACGCCGCGUGAGUGAUGAAGGCUUUCGGGUCGUAAAACUCUGUUGUUAGGGAAGAACAAGUACGAGAGUAACUGCUCGUACCUUGACGGUACCUAACCAGAAAGCCACGGCUAACUACGUGCCAGCAGCCGCGGUAAUACGUAGGUGGCAAGCGUUAUCCGGAAUUAUUGGGCGUAAAGCGCGCGCAGGCGGUUUCUUAAGUCUGAUGUGAAAGCCCACGGCUCAACCGUGGAGGGUCAUUGGAAACUGGGGAACUUGAGUGCAGAAGAGAAAAGCGGAAUUCCACGUGUAGCGGUGAAAUGCGUAGAGAUGUGGAGGAACACCAGUGGCGAAGGCGGCUUUUUGGUCUGUAACUGACGCUGAGGCGCGAAAGCGUGGGGAGCAAACAGGAUUAGGAUACCCUGGUAGUCCACGCCGUAAACG